AGCCAAUAGUCAGCUCCCAGUGGUCCUUGCCCCAGAGCAUGUGGUAAGAGGUGGAUUGAGGCCUUCACUCCGGGCCCUGCAGGCCUCUGGCCCAGGCUGGCGGGUGAGCUGAGGGCCCCAGAAGAGACUGAGGGCUGUGUCUCUAGAGCUCCAGAGCCCUCUCCACGGCCACCCCUGGCCGGGCCCAUGCCUUGAAGCAGCAGCAAACCUCUCCCCAGGCCCUCACUACGUGACCCAUGGAGCGCCCAGCAACUGGAGUGUGUACAGACAUGGCCAUUAAGACGAUGCUGUCAGCUGGAAGGAAAAAGUCCCACAGGGCGCAUCACGGGAAUGUCUCUCCACCCAGGGUUCGCAUAGCUUUGUCAUCAUAUCUGAUCUCUGCUGCUGCAGAUAACAGGCCAACAGAACUGAACGUGCAGACUUGGGAAGGCUUUCAGUUGAAUUUUUGAGUAAAAGAUUCCACCAGAGGUCUAUUGAAAAUGUGUUCCAGCAGAUUCAAGAGUGAAGGCUACCUGAACAACAGGCUCAACUUGGUUCCAAUGCUCCAUCAUCAAGGUGGGGAAGGGACACCUGCAGAUUUGCCAGGGCCUUUGUUAGUAAAGGGACUUCCAAGGUGGUUCUAGUGGUAAACUGACUGCCAUUGCAGGAGAUACAAGAGGCGGUUCAAUCCCUGGGUUGGGAAAAUCCCCUGCAGGAGAGCAUGGCAACCCACUCCUGAGACAGACUUUCAAUACUGAGUUUCCAUGGAAGGGCUUGGAAAUUGGGAAAGGAGGGGAGAACUGAAGUAACAGAAUACUGGCAUUCAGCAUUACGCUAACUAGAACUGAAGUAAAACAAAAUCCAGACCUCAAAGAGACAAUACGAAACUCACUAUAAGAAAUGGACAAAAUGCAAACAUCUCCAGUGUAAAACAAUGGCACAGAAACAUUGUCCUGAUUGAUCGAGCUUUCCAAUCCUUUCUAGUUUUCAUAAUUAUCCCAGUUCUUGCCGGAGCAUUAAAUGCACUCAUUAACUUUCUCUCUGAUAGGCCACACAAAAUUAAGUCUUAGUGGUCAGGUUUGUUUUUGUGCCCUUCAUAUUCCCCAAAAGUUUGUUUUAAAAACUAAAGCUCUAUUAAUCCAGGCUAGUAGUCACUAGAAUUCUAUUCUACUUUGGACUUUCCCAAUGAUUUAUUAUUGUACCCAAGUGAAGUGAAUAUAUUUUUUUUUAAUUUACUAUAUAUUUAUUUUA